UACGGAGGGUGCAAGCGUUUGUCCGGAUUUAUUGGGUUUAAAGGGUGCGUAGGCGGCCUAUUAAGUCAGUGUUUAAAGUCUGCAGCUUAACUGUAGGAAUGGCAUUGAUACUGAUAGGCUUGAGUAAAGUUGAGGUAGGCGGAAUUGAUGGUGUAGCGGUGAAAUGCAUAGAUAUCAUCAAGAACAUCGAUUGCGAAGGCAGCUUACUAGCUUAACUGACGCUGAGGCACGAAAGCGUGGGGAUCAAACAGG
rnacentral:rRNA from 1 species